ensembl:lncRNA
GUCGUUAUCACCCCUCUCUGACUGAUGGAAACGGAGGUGCAGGCACCGUGACUUGCUCAUGGCCACGAAGCUCCAGAUUGAAAGAAAAAUGAAAAAGAUAGCACCCUGCACCUAGCCUCUCCAAUGAUGAACGCUUUAACAUCCGUCUACCUACUAGUAACAUUUGUUACAGUGAAAGUCUGCAAUUCAUUCAGGAUCUUUCGCUGCUGAUGUUGACCUUGAUCACCGGGCUCAGGCAGUGCUCGCCAGGUUUCUCCGCUGUGAUGCCACGCUUCUCCCCGCCCUGCCCUCCUCGACAUCGUGCUCUUGGAGAGGAAGUAGUCCUGCUUGCUCUCAGCCAAGUCCAACUCUUUGGCCACCCCAGGGACUGUAGCCCGCCGGGCUCCGCUGUCCAUGGGAUUUUCCCAGGAAUGAAUCACUUACUCCUGAAGUUUCCUAAAGAGGCAAUGGACCCUGGAGCCCUUGUCCUGCUCUGGCAUGCCUUUCUUCUUCUUUUCUCUUUCCAGCUUCAUUGCGGUGUCAUUGACCCAUAACACCGGGUAAAUUUAAGGUGAACCACGUGUCAAUUCACGUGUUGAUUCACCAGAGGAGCCUGGAGGGCCACAGUCCUGGGGUCGCCAAGAGUCGGACACGACUGAGUGACUUUCAUGUGUUGAUUGGAUAUACUUAGAGAUCUCAAAAUGGUUGCCACCAGAGGCUCAGCUCACACCUCCGGUGGAGGCCUUUCUUCUGCCUCAUCAUUCUUUCUGGUUGCUGUUUUCCCCUCUUCGGUUGCUUGGAGUGGCAUACGGGAUCUUAGUUCCCCAGGGAUCAAAUCCACACCUUCUGUGACGGAAGCGUGGAGUCUUAGCCACUGGACCGCCAGACUCUUCAGAAGAAGGAAGCACCCAGAUUCCAAAGGUCUUGUUUCAGGGACACUGAGAAAGCGAAGCCCACCCUGACCUCCUCUGGCUCUUGAGGUGACCUGGACUUCCUCUGUUGAAGAAUGUUGCCUCUUUCACAUGCUAAUCUCUCAUCCCAAGCUGGACCCCCUGACUGGGACCCAAAAGAGGGCUAUAUCUCCAGAGGCCGGCAAGAACCCAGCACAGGGCGGCCAUGGGGGCCAGGUGUUGGGUGAAUGACAUCACCGAGCACCUGUUGCGUGCCGAACCCUUCACACACGAGUCCGGCUUUUAACAUCUUUCUUCCGGAAUGCUGGCUUUGCCAAGACUGGUGCAUAGUAAGCGCUCCAGGAUUAUGUGAUGGAAGUGCUGAGAUGAACUGUCACUCAGAGGAAAGAAGACUUCCUGAGGAUGGGGCCUUAGCAGAUUGAGCUCAUGAGACGAUCAAAAUAAGAAGAAAAUAAUAAUUGUAAUUUAUUAUUAUCCAGGAUCAUUAUUUAUUAUCAUUACUUAUUAUGAUCCCAGAUCAUAAUAAAUGUUCAUCUUCCCAGGGGCUUGGUACUGCUCUUGUGCUCAUCUCAUAGACGGGGGAACUGAGGCACAGAGAGGUGAAGGUGGAAACCCCAAGUCACACAGUCAGUGAGUGGCAGAGCCAGGAUUAGACCAACGCUGUUUGCCUGAGGAGACCGUCCUGAGCUUAUUACAACACACCUUCCACUAUUAAAAAGAGAAGUGCUGAUGGCUGUACCCAUUUUGCAGAUGAGGAAACAGAGGUUCUGAGAAGCCAAAGGGCUGGCCCGUGUCUGGAAGCAGAGAUGGUGGCUCAGCUGGAGGCGCGCAAGGGAACGCCCCAGCCUCCAGGGUUAGUACUCUAAAGGAGGGGGAAGCUGUCCCCUGCCUGUUCAUGUGUCUGGCCAAUACCCCAGCCUCUGUUUACCCAGCCCAACACCCAAAAGCUGCCUCUUCCGCCUGCCCUGGAGUCUCGGGUGCCUUCACAAUAGGAUUCUCUGUCUGUGCAGCUGGUUUUCAUUCAAGCCCUUUGUGCUGAAAAUAAAAAAAUGAAAAGAAAACUUGGCUCCUCCCCACUGCUUUGCUUCCCAGGGAGAGAGGAUCUCAGCCUUUUCUUUCCCGCAUUCUGGGGCCCAGAGAUGUCCAUCGACUGUCCAAGAUCACACAGCAGGGUUGGAGCCAGGACCUGGCCGUGGGCUCCUCAUCCAGUGCUCUGCUCACAGUCCCCAGCCUCCAGCUUCAGGGCCGGUCACCCCCUCCCGGCCCCUGCAUCUGCUUCUUCCUGA